UCUCUUGUGAUGAUUUGAUCCGUUCUGAGGGAAUUCAGCUGUUCUGGGUGAAUCAGGCUGGUGUUAAACUGACGAGAUCAGACUCCAGAUAUCAGAUAUUAUCCUCAUCAGACCACUGUAUCAUCACUCUGAAUACAACACUCCUGAAUGAAGAUCACAACAGAGAGUGGAGAUGCAAUGUUACUCAGAGAGAUCAAGUCAAGAGCUCAGUCACAUACACUGUCAAGAGUUCAGCUGAUUCAACGACAGCACUAACUUCUACACAAGUCACAGUGAUUUCUGUGUCUGCCGCUGCAUUCGCUGUUGUCCUUCUUGCUGUUGUCUGGCUGAUCUGGAGAAAAAGAG